AAAAAAACUGAAAGCAACAAGGGCGUGUUUGGUUGAAAACACGUCUCAACUCUGAAGUGCCCAAAUUUUUAGGGUGUAUUUUUUUAUUAAUUAAUUAAUUUCAUGUUCUAAAGAGAACAAAAAAAAAAGGGGGGGAAAUGGGGUUAUUAUCAGCAACAGCAGGAAUUACUGCAAAUCGAUAUCUUAAUCUUCAACCUAUUUCUGCAAUUCAUCAAAUUCGGGAAAUCCCCUUAUCAUUAUCAUCACGUUUACCCACUUCGAUUUCCUCUGUUUCUGUCUCGUCUCUUUCAUCGCGAGUUCUAACCAGUCCGAAUUCACGACUCGUCUCCAAAGCUUCUGUUUCUACUGCUUCUGAUGCAGCAGUUUCUGAUAAUAUUGGGAAUAUUUUGGGUGAUGUCACCAUUUUCAAGGCUACUGGUGAACCUGUCUUUUUCAAGGAUCUUUGGGAUCAGAAUGAGGGAGUGGCAGUUGUUGCACUGCUGAGGCACUUUGGAUGUGUUUGCUGCUGGGAGUUUGCAUCAGAUUUGAAAAAAGCAAUGCCGAGAUUUGAUGCUGCUGGUGUUAAACUCAUUGCUGUUGGUGUUGGGGAACCUGAAAAGGCCCGCUUGCUUGGAGAACGGUUACCGUUUCCUAUGGAGUGCCUUUAUGCUGAUCCUGAACGCAAGGCAUAUGAUUUAUUGGGUUUAUAUUAUGGUCUUGGUCGGACAUUCUUCAAUCCUGCCAGUAAAAAGGUUUUCUCAAGGUUUGAAUCCCUGAAAAAGGCCGCGGAGAAUUAUACAAUUCAAGCUACACCUAGCGACAGGAGUAGUGUUUUGCAACAGGGAGGAAUGUUUGUCUUCAAAGGGAAGGAACUGUUGUAUGCUAGGAAAGAUGAAGGAACGGGAGACCAUGCCUCCUUAGAAGAUGUCUUCAGUGCUUGCAAUGUGCCAGUUGCAUAAAGCUUAUGUGGAUUAAGUUCCACGCAAUCAGCUGACAAGCUUGUGAAUGAUGCAGCUAACAUAUCUACUUCCUGGCGCUGAUCAAAAUGUUUUUGCUGCAGUAUCUGGAACACGAUUUUUUUUCAAGUACACAAUAGCUUACUUUUCGGAAUGACCCACUUGUGCGGUGAGAUUAGUUGUCUCACUUCAAAGAAACAGAGGGAGAAUCACUAAGAUAUGGGUAGGCUAUCACGUACGGAACUUGAAAAUUCCACUUUUGGCUCGAAAUCCACCACAACAAAGUUUCACUUCUGAGGAUGUGGCUCAUGUUGCGAGACUAGUUUGCUCAUUUUAACAAAACAAGUGAGAUGUAGAGUUUGUAUUUUGAAAAAAAAAAAAAGUGGGCUGCUAGAAUUGUUGAAUUAAUUAAUAUCACUAUUUAAGGUCAUUGGGCUUACAUAGGCCCAAAGUUUUGAAACUAGAAGUAAAAUACUAAAGCUUAACCUGUGGGC